AGAGAAGCUUAAUGAAGAAACCUUCUCUAACGAGGAAAUUCUCAGGACAAAAUGUUGAACCAAACCAGGCACCCUCCGGGAUUCUCCCCCACCAGGAGAUUGGCUCGAGACAACAGCUUACAGCUUAGCUCUGUCCACCAUGGCGCCCUCCAGACUACCCAAUUGAGAAGACACAGAAGCAAGUCAGGUGGACCCCGCACCUCCUCACCCCCUCCCCUGCAUGCUUUUCACACCAAGUUCCCUUUUAAAGACUCCACUUUCCUCCCCAAAAGCUGAAGCAAUUCCCUUAAGUCAGGAGCCUGUAUGUUCCCCCUUAACCAAGCUCUGGGAUAAAGUCCCUUUCUUU
rnacentral:lncRNA from 10 species